CAUAGUAUUGCUGUCAUUAUCUUUAACGUGAUAGAUUAAAAGUUGCUGGAACGUGCAUACUAUGAAUACGUAAGUAGGCAGAUGUGGAAUGAAAGUUGAUCAGUCAAACUGAAGAGACAGGUAAAUGAGAAAUGGGCAGCACAAAAAGAACAUAUGAAUGAGCGUAAAGAAGAAUGAAUAACAAUAUGUCAAUCAUACUAUAUCUGCUACAUCCAAUAUCUGCGAGACAUUUCGCCCGAAAAAAGGGAAUCAUCAGGUUGGCCAGAAUACAACAGAAAAAAGCUUUAACUAUACGGGUGGUUCCACUACCAUCAUCGUACACCAAAUUACCUAUUUGAUGGUUCUCUGGUGAAGUCUUGAACUAUCAGCUUGCUCGGAAAUUUAUUGGUGUUGGCUAAACAAAUAUGGCUGCAGUGACAGGUGGGCGUAAAUCAUCGUUAGAAGGCAGGACGUCCGCGCCCACUUGCACCUUGGCUUUUGCGAUCGAUGGUACAAAUCGACGGCUGUCGGGC